GUGACGUCUUAACAUCAGCCAAUAUCGCCGCUACAGUCCACACUAGGUUCACCGGCGCAAGCCCCAUCCAGUGACCCUGGCAAAGGGGGCCCCGCGGCCCAGGCGCAGCCCCACCCCCGGGCGUCAGCACGUUUUCCCAGGCAGCAGCCUCCCGUGGGAGGGAGUCAGGGGUCGCGCAGCCUGAAGGAGCAACCGCCAGGAUGGAAAUGGCAGACUUUGGGAAGGAUCCCUCUGUCAGCGCAGGAGACCAGGUCAUUCCAGCAUCCAGAAACCUUCGUCAAAAUCUAUCUUGGAGGCAAACAAAACUCUCCUCUUCCAGAAGUGAUGGACACAGAUUCCAGAAGUCUGAGGAUGACCCCACACCAACUUUCCCUCUGUAUCACCUGUUCUUCCUUCUUUGGAUGCUCCAAUCUGUUGGAUGUUUUGUUACCAGCUGCCAUUCCACAUAGCCAUUAAACAGCUUUGACCUUGAGGACAUGGAUAUGGAUGAGGAGAAGGAUCCAGUUGGCACCUUUGGCCCCUUUUGCUUCAGUGGACUGAGUAGGGCGUCCAAGAAGGAACCCUUGCCUUAGGAAGACUCCUAAGAUUCCAAUGAUCCCCACCUCCUGAAGUUUACAAUUGUGGGUAAUUACCCCUCCCCUUGAGCACUGGUUGACCUUAGUGAUUUGUCUCCAACAGAAUAAAGGAAAGGUAAUGGGAUGCCACUUCCAUUAUUAGUUUAUAAAAGAUUAUAACUUCUGUCUUGUUUGAAAACUCUCUCCUGGUUUUGAUGAAGGAAGUUGCUGUGUCAGAGAAACCCACGUGACCAGGAACCAGCAAACUCCCACCCAGGGCCAACAGGGUAUUGAGGACCUCACGCCAACAGGCUUUGAGACAUGCAUCCUGCCAACAACUGACACCUGAGCAGGAUCAAAUAAAGGGCCCCAGGAUAAAACUGAGAAGUCCACUGUCAAGCUUCUUACAAGGGACCAGUAUGGAUGUAGAAGCCCAAAGAGGAAAUCGGAAGAGAGGGAGAGACACAGAGUGUGAGCUGACGAAGGGGCAGAGAGAGAGACGGAGACACAGAAUGCCAAGCAGGCUCCAGGCUCUGGGCUGUUAGCACCGAGCCCCACGUGGGGCUCAAACUCACGGACCACGAGAUCAUGACCUGAGCCGAAGCUGGACGCUUACCCGACUGAGCCACCCAGGUGCCCCUGGAGCUUUUUAAAUGUUGGUUACCUGACAGAUGAUCAGGAAGACAAGGCCUUGGAACAUAGACAACAAGUAGAAAAAUGAAUGAUGUGGAGUUGGUACCAGGGGGCAUAUAAGCCGGAAGGAUAGGAGGAGGAGGUAAAAGGACAGAAUGUCAGACUAUAAUAUUCCUGAUGGCAGAAGUAUUCCCAGUAUUAAGAUCUACAGGGUGUCAGUAACUGCACCGGAUGGGCAGUAAAGGACUCUAAAAUGAGAUUAUGUAGAAACUGGGACACUGGGUUAUUGGCUGAUCUAUCCACAUAGAUGUUACAACCUCCAGUACUUUCUCUUCAUGUUGCC